GUUAAAUCACUCUUGUGAAGAACAGGCUUCACACUUGAUGUGACUACAGGACAGAGGAAGUAUGAGGGACCACCAUCAGAUUCAGUUUAUUCAGGUCAGCAGCUUUCUGUUGGCACUGAGGUAUUUGUGGGGAAGAUUCCUAGAGACUGUUUGAGGAUGGGCCUGUUCCAUUAUUUUAGAAAGCUGGACCUAUAUGAGAUGUUCAUUUAAUGGUGGAUAACCUCACUGGGCUCAAUGGAGGGUGUGUCUUUGUUGCUUUUUGUACAAAAGAAGAACUAGAAGAGGCUGUUGAACUAUAU
rnacentral:lncRNA from 1 species